UUUAGCAGCCAUAUCACCCUGCAACUCACAACUGGCAACCCACUGAAGCUAAGCAGGGGUGAGCCUGGUCAGUACCUGGAUGUGAGAUCUCCUGGGAAAAACUAAGGUUGCUGCUGGAA
ensembl:rRNA 5S_rRNA 5S ribosomal RNA